ACUUGCCGCAAACCGCGAUGGAAAUCCUUCGGUGGGCGAGAUUUAAGAGCUGAAAGGAUGCUCCGGUACGAAGGGCAACGGUUUGGGCAUCGCCUUCUCCGGUUUGGGCACCGCCGUGUUUUCGCUGCGCCCUGUGAUAUAUCCUUGGGUCUCCCCGCGGUACUGGCAGGCAGAACGGCACGAGGGUGAUGAUCCGGUUGGUAGCCGAGCCCAAGAACCGGAGCGAGAAAACCCUCGUCCUCCCCAGCUCGCCACCACUACCAACUGGUAUUGCCCGAGGAUUUUUCGGUCCUCUCCUUGGUGGUGCCCCAGGGCCAGCGCUGGACCACGCUGAGAUGCCAUUUGGUGCGAACGCUCACAAGGGCUUCGUCUCACCGUUUGGGGGUCUCCGGCAGUGGGGCUGGAGGUCCGAUGCUGCUACCUCCAAAACACCCCCCCCUCUUCCCACAGCCCAUGGGUGCCCCUUAGUCUCAGACCAGGUCAAAGCCUUCAGCUGGAGCUAACAGAACCCAAGCCUGGGUGUCCAGAAACGACCCCACCUCAGGGCUCUGCCCUUCUCGGGCCACUCCAGCCCACGCAAACCCCUUGCCCGGGCUCUGUCCCCACUCCAGCCCCGGUGACCGGCAGGGAUUUUCCAGGCCGGCCAAGGAAGGACAUAAAUGACUCGUUCAGGGGCUAGGACUGUGGGAAAACGGUACGGCUCUGCCCGUGCCGGCUGCGCCUCCGUGCCAGGGAUGCCAGCGGAGCCAGGGCAGGUUCUGGUGUCCCUCUACCCCUUCCCACCCCCACGGCCGUGUCCCUGCCCAGCCGGGGCACCCAAGGGGCAGCUGAGGGCCGGAGGCUGGCAGUGCACCAGGGCAAGGCACUGCACAGAAAAUGCACGUAUUGCUGUAAAUCCAGCUGCUACUAGAGGGCAGAGUGAGCCAGGCGAGACCGGUUUUUUAGCUGUGCGAGGAGCUGGGAUGUGGGAAAUCGUGUUUGCUUCCCCUUUCCCCUUCCACUGAGGCACGUGGGGAAAGAGGGAGAACUUCAGCAGGGCGAGGGAUGAUCUGUGACAUGGUUUGAGGUUUGGAGUGGGAUGACUCACGCUUUGAUUUUUUUUUUUUACGGAGUGCUCCAGGGCUGGAUUAAGCCGUGUUUCUAAGGAAGGCACCGCAGCGAGCACUGUGGAGGCAGCGGGGCUAAGCUCCCCGUUCCCCACCACAUCGGGCUGCUGCGCCCCAGCCCUGACGCUGCUGCGACAGCUCCCCAUCCUCGUCAAGAAGAGAAAACAAGAACAGACGCACGGCCAGUGCAUCCCACAAGGGACAGCCGCUAUCUCCUGCUAACUCACUAGGCUGGACGCAGGGGUCUGGCACGAGGCUUUGUCUUGUCCCAGUGCCCGUCUCCUUUGCAGGCAGCAGCGUAAGGGCAGCUUUGACGUGCUCGGGCAGGUCUGCAGCCUGCGCCAGCCCCGGCUGCUGCACCCUGGUGCCAACCCCACCUGCGGGUGUCCGCAGGGACCUUCCUCGAGCGGCCGGGACAGCUUGGCCGCUCAGGCCGGCUGCUUCGGAUUCAGCCUGGACUUCCUUGGUGGGCUGUGCUGUCCCUGUGCUGCUGCACGAGCUGGUGCUACAGGAGGUGUUUUCAUCUCAAAAAAAUGAAGUAAAAGUUUUCCCUGACCUGAACAGGGCCAGAAGUGCAGCCGGUCGGGGCGAGACAGGCUGAUGCUCCUCCCAGGACCGGCGCAGCCUGCGUCGGCACCACCUCGUCGCAGGGACAGGGAUUCGGAGGACUCGCCUUCGGCCGGGAGGUGUGAGCAGCCCCUCUGCCCAAGAGCUGCCCGACCCUGCCUGCAGCCGUCGGUCACAUCCAGCCCUUGCUUGAAGCAGCUCCGGGGCUCUUCGUGCUGCCAGAGCUGGCAGGAGCAGGUUGGGUCUUAGACCAGCAGUGCUCUCCUGCUCGAGCUCAGCUGCACAAACCAGCUGCACUGAUGCUCCUCUGCUCCCGGAGCUGCUCUCCCUGGAGAUGUUUGCCCUGGCUUUGCUCCGGGCCAUGGGGCAGGAGCAGGCAGCCCUCCUGGCCACGCAGCUCUUGGAGAUGCUCCCGGCUUGCCGCAAACAGCGUGGGGCCCACCUCGUGCCGUGCAGGAUCUGGGAUGUGCCCCCCAGCCUCCAAAUUGAGGAGCUGAUGGGGAAUUUACUCUGUCCCCAGAUAAACUAUGCAAUUACCAGUUACCACCACUAAUUAAUGUACCAUGGGAACAGCUUAUCCUGGGGGCACAUCCACAAACUUCUCUGCUAGCGAUGCCCGGAACACCUCGGGCUUUUAACCUACUUGGAGUCGACGAUGGCUCCCGCAUCAGUGGCACUGGGGACAAACAGGCGCGCGCUGGCACAGCGGUGCCGGGGUAAGCACCAGCCAAAAACCCCGCGACUCCAACCUCCAUCACACUCAACUCAGCAAACCAAGCGCCGUGCAUCUGGAGUCGGAUGCCGGGAGGCUGCCAAAACUCGGCUGCUCUUUGGUUUGGGUCGCAGACCCCCAGCCGGCGCAGGAAAAGGUGCCGGGUGCCACGCCGCCGCCGCCGCGCACGCUCACCUCCCGCGCAGGCUGCUGCAAGGGGUGAGGUAAUCCUGGGUAAUUCCUGACUUCCAUGGAAAUGCCUCCAGGCCGUGAUGAUUAUCGCUGUAAUUAGCCUCUCUGAUUUUUCUUGGUGUUCUAUAAAAUAUUAAUUUACAGCUGGA